rnacentral:rRNA from 1 species
AAUCAACGCUGGCGGCGUGCCUCAGACAUGCAAGUCGAACGAGAAGGCUCCUUCGGGAGCCGGACAGUGGCGCACGGGUGAGUAACACGUGGGUAAUUUACCUUCGGGUGGGGAACAACAGCCGGAAACGGCUGCUAAUACCGCAUAAUGCAGCGGCACCUAAUGGUGACAGUUGUUAAAGCGGGGGAUCGCAAGACCUCGCGCCUGAAGAGAAGCCCGCGGCAGAUUAGGAGUUGGUGAGGUAAUGGCUCACCAAGCCUGCGAUCUGUAGCCGGCCUGAGAGGGCGGUCGGCCACACUGACACUGAACAACGGGUCAGACUCCUACGGGAGGCAGCAGUCGGGAAUUUUGGGCAAUGGGCGAAAGCCUGACCCAGCAACGCCGCGUGAAGGAUGAAG